rnacentral:lncRNA from 1 species
CCAGAUUAGGCCUCCGGUAUGAAACAAGUAUAGUGAGUAAGAAACUUAAUUUUAUGGACCCCGCUCUAGUGUCGGUGUUUUGGUUGAUAGCCAACGUUAAUUUUUUAAAACAUAGUGUUUUAUCUGUGCUUGUGCUUGAAACACACAGUAGGGGGGAGCGAAAUUAGCUGCGGAGCUGCUGCAGCGAGCAUGGGGACUUCUCAAGUCUCUCCCAAUUUUUCUGGCUCUUCAGGAGCUGUUUAAAAGAAAAAGGCUUAAGGUAAAAAGAAACACUAUAAAAAGAUUUCUUAGUGAAUUACUACACCUUGGUUUGCGAUCUCUGGGAAUCUCAUGGUGGACAGCUGAGAUAAGCUGGAAAAGGAUUUAAAUUUUGCUUAGAAACAAAGAAUCUUAAAGGUGGAGUUUCAGCCGGUAUGACACUUAGUGCAUAGCUGCCUAAAAGAUCAGAAAUGCUGUCAACAGGCUAUAAAAAAGGGACAGGCUGUGUUAAAAAUGCUACAUAAAGAAUAAUCUAAAAAGGCUGAGAGUGAGGUGGGAGAGGACUCUAAGAAAAACAAGAACAAGAAAGGAAUUUCUGCUUUUAGUGACCAGACCUUCAACUCUUGCUCACAGAAAGAGGGUGCUCAUUAAGAGAAGUUCUUUAAGGAGCCUGCCUUAUCUGCUGGCCCUAUUCCAAGAGAGGAGCCAGUCUCCAGCAUUAAAUUACUUUUCUCACUGGUCAUCAUUAGCAUGGAGAAUGCCUUUGAUCCUAUCCCCACAGCAGCCAGUUCCUGCCCCUGUGGUAGAAAUGUCCCAGGUUGGGGGGCAGAGAAGCCCCUAAAAUAGUUUCAAAGAAUCUACAACAAACUGUAAAGAACUUUGUUUUGUUUUGCCAGUUUAAAUUUAGAAUUCAGGCUUUGGCUGUGGCCGAGGUCAGGAUUAAUGUUUUCGUUUCCAUGGGCCCUUAGCCCACUGAGACAGUUUGGUAAAGGACUACUACUACAGUCCUGAUAUUCAGAGACAUGGAGAGAGCUAUAGUUUUUUUUAUUAAAGGUUGGUACUAUAGUAUUAACAAUCUCUUUAUUAGAUAUAAGAGACAAGAAGCCCCAGGUGAACUGGUUACAAUUCUUUUGUCAGCUGCUUAGUAUCUAACACUCAGGUUCUAUCGUCUCUCCAUCCUUUUAUUAUUAGUUGUUACUGAAAGCCUAGUGCCAUUUAGAGGAUGGGUCUCUUGAGUGAUAAAGCCACUGAGCUGGCACUAAAGGAAGGUACUCCUUAAGGGAAAAUCUAAGUCCAGAGAGACAGCCGGUAACAGAUAGGCUGCCCCUCUGCUCACUUUUCUGUUUCACAGACACAAGGUCUUUUUGUCCCAAGAAAGCCUCUUGGCUUAGCUGUGUGACUAAAUGCUAUUUGCCCUCUUCAGUGGACCUCUAUUCUCAAGAUUCUCUUGUUUUCUCACCAUCCCAUUUGAGAUGCUUGUUAGUAACUGUUACAGGUCUUCUUUACCACCGAGGAAAGACGGAAUCCUACUAGAGGCCAGAAAAAGUGUUCCAGAGAUGGAUAGAAGGCCCUCACUUCUGCCUGCUCUCUUCAGACGCCUAAAGGUAGGGAGUGCCAGGUCUGCCGCCAGGCUCCAAGGGUGGGUCUCUGAGGGGCUAGAAAAUGCCCCACCAAUCUGGCUAAGAUAAAGAAAGGAUAUGAAGAAAAAGUUACAAAAAUUUAAAGGGUUAAGUUAAGUUGCUGAGAGUUAGUACAAGUUACAGAGAAAGAGGUAAAAAGAACAGAAAGCUAAAAAAAAAAAAGAGACAAAAAGAAGAGGAAGUUAGAGAGAUAAAGAGAGAUAAAAGACGAGAGAGGAACAUAUACUGGCCACAGUAGUUAGGGAACCUAGGAAGAUAGUACCUGGCAACAGAAGAGAAUUCCUGACUAAAGAUCAGUGUGCCUAAUACGAAGAAAAAGGAUAUUGGGUCAGGGACUGCCCCAGAAAGAACAAGAGGGGACACUGGAGAGCCUCUUGGUGCUGGCUAUGCACAGAGAUGGAAGGGAAGCCCGCCCAGUUGUUUUGUGGAUACAGGGACCCAAUGCUCUGUGCUCCUAUGCCCCCCUGUGGGCCAAUAUCCAAAGACCUUGAGUGCAAGGAGCUACUGACAACGAACAAUACUUAUGGACUGCCCGAAGAACAGUGGACCUUGGCGUGGGCCGGGUAACCCACCCACUAAUUCAUGGUCAUCCCUGACUGCCCCUAUCCCUUGCUCAUGAGAAAAUUGCUCUCCAAAUUGGCUUGCGUGGGCUGAAAUGGCUGGAUGAGGCCAUGUGUAUACAUAUCUAUAGACUGUAUAUGUGGAGCUUAAGACCUGUCUCAGUACACCAGUAACUGAUGCUGGGAGAUGAAUGAGUUAGUGCUUUUCUGCUUGGAACACACCGUUCCUGCCAGCCGGGCACUAACAAUUAUCACCCAAUCCAGGACUUAAACUGUGAUAGAGUGGCUGAUAGAGUGUCCAAAGAUGGGACCACUGGUCAGCAGCCAUGGACUAGAUUCUCCACCGGUUGGGGACAAUCUGGUCACCUUGCUGCCCAAUCCGGACCUGGAGCCACCACAGCACGAGUGUCAAACACUGACAGAAGCACAUGGGUGGAGGAAAGACCUGUGCGACUGGCUGAUUGACCCCUGCUGAAAGCCGAGGACCUUGUCCACAGACGGGAACAGUUCUCUUCAUGAAUAAAGGUCAGAGAUAAGUGGGUGCUGCCAUGGUGGACAACACAAUGUCAUCUAGAAUGGCUGAACCUCUACCCCCCCAGCACAUCAGCGCCACAGAUGCCUUUGCCAUCUCUUGGAUGCCCGGAUGAAGCCAACAACUGUGAGUACUAUUCAUUGCCCAGGAAAACAGGAGGGAAGAGAUUCAGUGACAUGGGGCAGUGACAAAACAGAUAAAGUGGCUCGGGAAAUGGCUAUACAGGAGCCUAUCCUGGUUACAGGCCUGCAAGAGACAGCCACUGAGAACUAGGAUUAGACUAAGGGAUGGCCUCACUUAGAAAAGGCCCAAAUUGCUUAAAAGAUAAAGGACAAUGGCACACUUGAGGGGAAGCUAUACUCCCCAGAGAACAAAGAAAAGACUCACUUUGCCAAAUAAAAAAAUAGACUUGGGCUGGGGAUUUAGCUCAGUGGUAGAGCGCUUACCUAGGAAGCGCAAGGCCCUGGGUUCGGUCCCCAGCUCCG